rnacentral:rRNA from 1 species
AACGAACGCUGGCGGCAUGCCUAACACAUGCAAGUCGAACGAGACCUUCGGGUCUAGUGGCGCACGGGUGCGUAACGCGUGGGAACCUGCCCUUAGGUUCGGAAUAACUCCCCGAAAGGGGUGCUAAUACCGGAUAAUGUCUGCGGACCAAAGAUUUAUCGCCUUUGUGUGGGCCCGCGUUGGAUUAGCUUGUUGGUAGGGUAAAAGCCUACCAAGGCGACGAUCCAUAGCUGGUCUGAGAGGAUGAUCAGCCACACUGGGACUGAGACACGGCCCAGACUCCUACGGGAGGCAGCAGUGGGGAAUAUUGGACAAUGGGCGAAAGCCUGAUCCAGCAAUGCCGCGUGAGUGAUGAAGGCCUUAGGGUUGUAAAGCUCUUUUACCCGGGAUGAUAAUGACAGUACCGGGAGAAUAAGCUCCGGCUAACUCCGUG